CUACGGGGGGCUGCAGUGGGGAAUAUUGCGCAAUGGGGGGAACCCUGACGCAGCAACGCCGCGUGAAGGAAGAAGGCUUUCGGGUUGUAAACUUCUUUGAAUAGGGACGAAGAAAGUGACGGUACCUAUAAAACAAGCCACGGCUAACUACGUGCCAGCAGCCGCGGUAAUACGUAGGUGGCAAGCGUUGUCCGGAAUUACUGGGUGUAAAGGGCGUGUAGGCGGGAGAGCAAGUCAGAUGUGAAAGUCCAAGGCUUAACCAUGGAAGUGCAUCUGAAACUGUUUUUCUUGAGUGUCGGGAGGAAAGUGGAAUUCCUAGUGUAGCGGUGAAAUGCGUAGAGAUUAGGAGGAACACCAGUGGCGAAGGCGGCUUUCUGGACGAUAACUGACGCUGAGGCGCGAAAGCGUGGGGAGCAAACAGGAUUAGAUACCCGAGUAGUC
rnacentral:rRNA from 1 species